rnacentral:rRNA from 1 species
CCUGCCAGUAGUCAUAUGCUUCGUUCAAGGGCUAAGCCAUGCAUGUCUCAGCGCACACGGUUCAACAGUGGGUCUGUGAAUGGCUCCUUACAUCAGCAGUCAUCUCAGCGAUGAAGUGUGGACGCCACCAAGGCCAAGGUGGCCAUUUGGACAUCCUCCAAAACCUAGUGGCUAAUACACGCAAGAGACAGUCUGCCACGCCAAGUGUUGGGCGGGAAACGGCCUGACCUGUGGUGGAUUGCAUCCAGCUGGUUUCAAGACCUGCGACCGAAAGGUCAGCAUGUCCCAGCUGACUCAAGCUGGUCCUUCUGGACACAGCUCUGGCUAGCAUAGUGGCAUCACCACUGCUUGCCUGAUCGCUCGAACUUCUGACCUAUCAGCUCUGACUGUGGUGUAGUGGACCACAGUGGCUAUGACGGGUAACGGAGAAUUUGGGUUCGACUCCGGAGAGGCAGCCUGAGAAACGGCUACCACUACCAAGGUGGGCAGCAGGCGCGCAAAUUGCCCAAUACCAAAGCUCACGGUGAGGCAGCGACGAACUGCAGCAAUUCUGCCUGGAUCAUUUCAGGCUGAACUUGGAAUGGAUGCUAUCCAAACACAGUGAUGAGUAGCCACUGGAGGGCAAGUCUGGUGCCAGCAGCUGCGGUAAUUCCAGCUCCAAGAGCGUAUACUAACAUUGCUGCGGUUAAAACACUUGUAGUCUGCCCUAGGGCGCAGGUCUGACCGGGCUUGCUUAGGUCUUGUGGCUCAGUGUGUCUCCGGACAUGCUGGUGUUGCUUGACCGGCAAGAACACAACCCCGGCCAGUAUGUCCCUGCGCCCAACCAUCCAGGAUGGUUGAAGCUCCUGCCUAAAGUCACCUUCACUGGUGGCCUGAAGCGGCUGUGCACCGCAUGCGUGUGUGGACAAUCAGGAGUCCAGCUGCCACAUGCACUGGAUCAACUCCGUCCGCCACCGGAGCCAACCAUCACUGACACCCUGGAAAACUCAGUGUGCUCAAAGCAUCCACUUCGGAUGGAUGCCUGUCCAUGGAACGUCAAAGCAUCGACCGAACUUGGCAACAGAGUUGUGCAGGCCUUGGUGCCAGUUCAGGACAAUGUGGUGCUGCACCCUUGCCUAUGAAGGCUCAGUCUUCGGAUUGAUGUCCGGAUCAGCUUGGUGUUGCAGUAACCUACCGCCAAUGAUGGGACUGCUCAGGGUGGAAGGUAUUGGAGCGCCAGAGGUGAAAUUCUUAGACCGCUGCAAGACCAACUGCAGCGAAGGCGUUCUGCAAGGGCAUGUUCGUCGAUCAAGAAUGAGAGCUUGGGGAGCGAAGAUGAUCAGACACCAUCGUAGUCCAAUGCUGUAAACCAUGCCAGCUCGGUCUUGGUGAGGCAAGUCUCUUGACCUCAUCAGUGCCAUGCCCCCUGCAACGAGAAAUCCAAGCCUGUGGGUUCCGGGGGGAGUACGGUCGCAAGGCUGAAACUUAAAGGAAUUGACGGAAUGGCACCACAAGGCGUGGAGUAUGCGGCUUAAUUUGACUCAACACGGGGAAUGUUACCAGGUCAGGACAUUGCCAGGAUGGACAGACUGCUAGCUCUUGCUUGAUUCGAUGGAUGGUGGUGCAUGGCCGCUCCUGAUUGGUGGAGUGAUUUGUCUGGUUGAUUCCGAUAACGAGUGAGAUCUCCGCCUUCCACUAGCGCCUGUCUCGCAUUUGGUAGGGUGGACUCUUGGUCAACCCGGUCUGGCUGGCCUUGUGUUGGCUGGGCUUGUGGUCCCUUGAUGUCCCCCGAGAGUUCAGGCUGCUUCUCUGAGGUGCUGCGUACACUGCUAAGUGCGCGCAUGCUAGAGCCAACAGCAGGUCUGUGAUGCUCCUAGAUGUCCUGGGCCGCACGCGCACUACAUUGACACAGUGAAGGUGUCAAGCUCCUCAUGGAGCCCUGGCCAGAAGUGGCUGGGAAAUCAUCCAAGCCUGUGCUGUACUGGGGAUAGAUGAUUGCAACUGUCUGCCUUGAACGAGGAAUGCCUAGUAGGCGUGAGUCAUCAGCUCACACCGAUUGCGUCCCUGCCAUUUGUACACACCGCCCGUCGUUGCUACCGACGGCAGCUGGAUAGAGUCAUCAGGAGGCCAAAGGCACUCGUUGCCUGAACUGAAAUUGGACAAUGUCCAGCUGCUGAAGGAAGCAAAAGUC